ACUUUAAAUAAAUUGUAUAAUAAGUUAUAUGUGAAUUUGAUAUAUUUCUGCUGUACCUAAACAUGAUAAUAGUUUAUUUAAUGUUUCUUAUGUUGUUAGAUAAUUAACCAUGUACAUAAAAUAUUGAUUAAACAUGAAAUGUUUCUUUAAGGACAUUUUAUUACGCAUGCAUGGCUUUUUCAUAAAUGUCUGAGGCAUAUGUAAUCCGAGGCUUAAAAGACCAAGACAUCUAGAGGAUAUUUUAUACGAAAUUAUUUUGUGCCGUGACAUGGAUAAAUUGUAUGUUUUUCGAACAGUUUACAUCAGACAUUAAAAACCGCUCUAAACUUGU
rnacentral:sRNA from 1 species